ensembl:lncRNA
GGCAUAGAGGAUGUUAAUUAGGCAUAGAGUAUGUUAAUUAGGCACAGGCAUAGAGUAUGUUAAUUAGGCAUAGGCAUAGAGUAUGUUAAUUAGGCAUCGAGUAUGUUAAUUAGGCAUAGAGUAUGUUAAUUAGGCACAGGCAUAGAGUAUGUUAAUUAGGCAUAGGCAUAGAGUAUGUUAAUUAGGCAUAGAGUAUGUUAAUUAGGCAUAGAGUAUGUUAAUUAGGUAUAGGCAUAGAGUAUGUUAAUUAGACAAGGCAUAGAGUAUGUUAAUUAGGCAUAGGCAUAGAGUAUGUUAAUUAGGCAUAGAGUAUGUUAAUUAGGUAUAGAGUAUGUUAAUUAGGCAUAGAGUAUGUUAAUUAGGCAUAGGCAUAGAGUAUGUUAAUUAGGCAUAGAGUAUGUUAAUUAGGUAUAGAGUAUGUUAAUUAGGCAUAGAGUAUGUUAAUUAGGCAUAGGCAUAGAGUAUGUUAAU